GCCCCCCCUCCGCUCAGGCUCCCGCAGCGCCCCCGCCCGGCACCGCCCCCGCCGGCGUCUGCUGGCCGCGCGCCUCCCGCUGAGUCAGCCGUGUCCACGGAAAGUUUUACUGGAACAGCAAGCUCCUUUGUUGCCUAGGUCCGCGGCUGCUUUGCACAACGACAGCAGAGUCGAGCCAUUGUGAGAGACGGUCAUCCAGACGUGCCUGUUUCUUCUUUUCUUCACUACAAAGCACAGCGGCAGGAAAGGGCCUCCUUCACUUCUUGCCAGGGGCUUCCUGCCUCUCAGUCCCGGUGACUCCACUUGACUUCCUCUGACCUAAGACAGAGCCCCCAACCUCAAUGAGCGAUAAAUACACGGACCUGUGUGUUUGUCCCUGGUGUGCGUGAAUCCUGUUAACUGUGAUUACCUGGGGUGGGGGAGGGGAGGAAGCGGGGGUCCGAAGAGUACUGACUUUUCACUGUACUUUGGUGCUGUUUGAAUUUUGUGGCAUAUAAAU
rnacentral:lncRNA from 1 species